rnacentral:lncRNA from 1 species
AAGAGAGCUGCUGUGAACAUAGAAAACUACCGAUUGCAUAUAUGCUAGCCGGUGCAAAUGCAAGUUUGAUCUAGUUACAUCAUAUGGGCGAAGCUUUAUUUGAAGGGUAAAUUUUGGUUUUCCAGUAAUGCAUCCUGGCAAUGUGAUUAUGGUUGGGUCAUCUUGUUUAUGUUAUUUUGUUUAUUUAUUUUAUGCUUUUGUUCCAUUUAAAUUGCUACUGCAUCUUUUCCACUCAGAAUUGACCGCAGUCUUAACUUUUGGUGGCAAAUUAAAGGGUAAAUGAUUUGAAAAUAUAGGUUCUCUAUUGAGAACUAUGAGCAUUUUGAAUACACUUCUAUGUCUAAAAUUUUUUUAAGGAGUCCUCUGAUGACAUGAGCAUUCAAUACAUUCUUUAUUAUAUAAUAAAUAUAAUAUAAGGAGGUGGCUUAAGAGAUACAUUGUAUUUUUUAUUUUAAAUUUAAUAUAAAUUUUUAUGCAUUUAUUUAAUUGAUAUAGGUAAUUUGUUUUAUUAAUAAAAAUUUAAAAGAAGUUAAAACCAGUAACUUUUAUGAAAAUAAAAGGAAAAUAUAAUAUAAAAAAUCUAUUGACUUAAUUACUUUUUUAAAUUAAAUAUUUUUUUAAAUGUUUUUAAUUAUAAAAAUAGUUUUUUUUUUUUUUUUUUUGUAAUAACGAGUAGUAUGGAGUAUUCUAAUGUAGGAAAAUGAGCUUGUAAUUUGCUUAUAUAAAGAAGGGUUGUUUAAAUUUUAUUUUACUUUUGGUCUCUGAAAUGGUUUUUCUUUUUUGCGUAUGCUUUUUUAGGUGGGAAAGUAGGUCAUAAUGAUGUUUGCAUUAAUGGGAUGGUUGAGCAAACACUGAUAUUAAAUUCUCAUUUCCUCUCCCGUUACCUGUGCCCAUCCCUGCUUCAAUAUUAAGAACAUAUCGUGAGAGGCGAAGGAAGCGAGAACACUGAGGGCAUUUUAAAAUCAAACACAUUCAGAACCAAAAUAUGAUUUACCGUCGGUAUAACUGGGUUGUAUAAUUACAGGUCACAAAAUAAAAGGUGACCUAAAUGGCCUUGUUUGCAAUCUCCUGGAAAUAGGGAACAGCAGCCGCCGCCGUUCUGUACUGUACUCGGC